rnacentral:rRNA from 1 species
UGCAGUCGAGCGGAUGAGUGGAGCUUGCUCCAUGAUUCAGCGGCGGACGGGUGAGUAAUGCCUAGGAAUCUGCCUGGUAGUGGGGGACAACGUUUCGAAAGGAACGCUAAUACCGCAUACGUCCUACGGGAGAAAGUGGGGGAUCUUCGGACCUCACGCUAUCAGAUGAGCCUAGGUCGGAUUAGCUAGUUGGCGAGGUAAAGGCUCACCAAGGCGACGAUCCGUAACUGGUCUGAGAGGAUGAUCAGUCACACUGGAACUGAGACACGGUCCAGACUCCUACGGGAGGCAGCAGUGGGGAAUAUUGGACAAUGGGCGAAAGCCUGAUCCAGCCAUGCCGCGUGUGUGAAGAAGGUCUUCGGAUUGUAAAGCACUUUAAGUUGGGAGGAAGGGCAGUAAGCUAAUACCUUGCUGUUUUGACGUUACCGACAGAAUAAGCACCGGCUAACUUCGUGCCA